UCGCACUGCGGGGAGUGUGGCCGGUCCCUGGGAACUGUCCUCACUCCUUGCAGACGAUGUAACGCCGUUGCCUUCUGUAGCAACGUGUGCCGGGUGCAUGGCUGGAAGAUGUGGCACAAACACACCUGCGGAGCCGGCGGAGCACGACUGAUGCAUCCUUCGAGGGACGUCUGCACACAGCAGGCGUUUGCAACUACGGUGCCGAUCUUGACGCGGACUGACCUGAUACCGUGGCACACAGUAGCUGAGGUUGACACUCAGGUCAAUGCUGAACCAAAGCAGACCCUCGCUUAUUCCUACAGUGGACCGCACAAUUACAGUUACAUUUAGGUGUACAUGUAGAUAUGUAGUGUAUGGGAUGUCUACAGUCAUACGUGUAGCAUAUGUGAUGUCUACAUUCAUACGUGUUGUGUAUGUGAUGUCAUCAUUCAUAUGUGUAGUGUAUGUGAGGUCUACAUUCAUACGUGUAGUGUAUGUGAGGUCUACAUUCAUACGUGUAGUAUAUGUGAUGUCUACAGUCAUACGUGUAGUGUAUGUGAGGUCUACAUUCAUACGUGUAGUAUAUGUGAGGUCUACAUUCAUACGUGUAGUAUAUGAGAUGUCUACAGUCAUACGUGUAGUGUAUAUGUGAGGUCUACAUUCAUACGUGUAGUGUAUGUGAGGUCUACAUUCAUACGUGUAGUAUAUGUGAGGUCUACAGUCAUACGUGUAGUGUGUAUGUGAGGUCUACAUUCAUACGUGUAGUAUAUGUGAUGUCUACAGUCAUACGUAAAUGAUGA